AUGGCCAGCAUGGCCACGGAUUGUAGGGGAGGAAUGUAUUGCCUAAUGAGUUGUAUGCUUUCUUUAGAUCCUCUGUGCUCCCUAUCACAUCUGGCUUGGCCACCUACAGAUUCUUGGGUCCAGGUUCCUGAUCUGAAGCGGAGGAACACGAGGUCACAUCCAUUAAGUGGCAGAAGGGGGUUGCAACAAUUUUCUUCAGUCUGA
rnacentral:rRNA from 1 species